GUUUCCUCAUGCAAGUGUUGUAGGUUUGUGUCUUGUGUGCAUCCUGUUGCUAUUCUGAGUGCUGUGUUCUGUGUGGUCUGGAGUUUUGUCUUGUUUGUGUCCGAUAGUGUUGGUGACCAUAUAGUGUUUGCGUAUUCGAGGCGUGUGAGUGUGGUUGCUUUGUAUGUGGUGAGUAUAGUUUCUUUGGAUUUUCCCCAGUGAGUGGUUGUUAAGGCUUUAAGUAUUUUGUUUGAUUGCUUGGCGCGGGUUAGAGUGUGUUGUGUGUGUUUUGAGAAGGUGAGUUUGGGGUCCCAUGUUAAUCCCAGUAUUUUGGGUUCGCGGACUGUGGGUAGGGUGGUGUUAUCUAUUUGUAAAGUGAGCCUGUUGCUGUAUUCUGCCGGAUCCGGUGUGAACAGAGUGGUGGUGGUUUUGUCUGCGUUGAGUGUGAUUUGGUUCUGUUUUGUCCAGUUGUAUAUGUCGUGGAGAUAUUUUUGUACUUGUUGUUGUGCCUGUUGUGGUUUGACAUGUGUGGAUAGAAUGGUGAUGUCGUCUGCAUAUGUAACUGUGUGUACAUUUGGAGGUGGUUGUGGUAAGUCUGCCAUGUAUAUGUUGAAUAGUGUUGGUGAAAGUACUCCCCCCUGUGGUACCCCCGUUUUCGUGUUUCUAUGUUCUGAUGUUUCCCCCCGGUAUUGAGUGUAUUGUCUGCGUCCCCUUAUGUAGUUGAAGAUGUAUUUGAUGAUGAUGUUUGGGGUGUUAGUGUUGUUGAGUUUGUUUGUGAGUGUGUGUAGGUUUACCGUGUCAAAGGCUUUGGACAUGUCUAGGGCUAUGGCAACUGUUCGUUGUGGUGGUUUUUGUUGAUUGAAACCUGUGGCUAUGAUGUUGUGUAUGUGGUGUAGUGCUUUGGUUGUGGAGUGUUGUUUUCGGAAGCCGUGUUGGUGAGAGGGUAGUUGAGUGUUGUUGGUAAUGAAGGGUAGUAUUACCUUUUCCAUUGUUUUGGCUAUUGGGCUGAGUAGUGCUAUUGGUCUGUAAGAUGGGCCGAGUGCGUGGUUUUUGUUGGGUUUUGGUAUUGGGAUUAUUUUUGCAGUCUUCCAUAUUGCGGGGAUGGUGUUGGUGUUGAGUGAUGUGUUGUAAGUGUGUGUGAGUAGUGUUAUUGCUUUGGGGCCUAGGUGUUUCAGAUGUCUGAUGUUUAUGUUGUCUGGGCCUGUGGAGUUGUUGCUUUUGGAGCGUUGUAGUGCUUGUUUGACUUGUUGUUCUGUGAUGGUUAUGGGCGUGGUGUUGAGUUUUCGUAUUUUGCGUUGUAGUUGUCUGUAUGUUCUGUUGGUUUUGUGUUGUAUUAUGUUGGUGAAUUGUUUGUUGAAUGCUCGUGCUUUCUGUUUGUUGGAUAUUGCCGUGUGUUGUCCGAACUGUAUUGUGGUGUUUUCUGGUGCUUUUUGUUCUUUGUUAGAUAGUCUUGUUACUGUGUUCCAGAGUAUGUGUUGUUUGUGUCUGUGGUUCCAUGCAUCCGUUAAGUGUUCUUUCCAUAGCUCUUGUUUGUGUUUUUGGAUUUGUGUGUCUAUUUCUUUGUUUAGGUCUGUGAUGCGUGGGUCUUGGUGGUUUUGUUGUCUGAUGUCGUUUCUUUGGCUGAUGAGUGUUCUGAUGUGUUGUGGUAGGAGAAGUGAUUUGCUUUUUAUUUUUCCGUGGGGUAUGUGGUGUUUGUCUGCUGUAAGUAUGAGGUUUGUGAGCAUGGUGUUGGCUGUGUGGAUGUUGUCAGGUAUGGUUAUGUUCUCCAGUGCUGAUUCUAUUUCAGAGGUGUAUCCUUCCCAGUCUGCUUUCCUGUAAUUUGUGUAAGUUUGAAGGUGUUGUUGUAGGCGGAAAGGAGCACGCGUGUUGUGUGUGAUUUUGAUGGGAAGGUGGUCUGAACUGAGUGCGUGUAUUGUGGUCCAUGUUGUUCUGUUUGUGAUGCUGUUGCUGGCUGUUGUGAUGUCCGGUGAUGUUGGUUGUUGGUUGAUGUUUUUAGGUUUUCUGGUAGGUGUGUUUGCGUUUAGAGUGAUUUGUUGGGAGUUCUGUAGUACGUCUGCAAUGAGGGUGCCUCUGUGGUCGUCGUAGGGAGAGUGCCAUUGUGUUGAGUGAGCGUUGAUGUCUGCGGUUAGAAUGGUGUUGUUCAGCGAGUUUAUGUAUUGGAAGGUGUUGGUGAUGUCUGUGUCUUCUGUGGCGUGGUCUGGUCGGGUGGUAUCUCUGGGGGGUAUAUACAUGUUGCAUAUGUGUAGUCUUUUGUGGUUGGUUAUGUGAAUCUUUACGGUUUGAAUUUCUGUAGUGUUGGUGUUAAUGUUGUUGGGGAUGUUCAUGGGAGUGAAUGUGACUGAUUUGUGAAUGUAUGUGAGCAGUCCUCCUCCUCCCUUGUGUUCUCUGUCUUUCCUAAUGCUGGUGUAGUUGGUGAGACGAGGUGUGUUGUGUUGUUUUUCUAGUUUGGUUUCUUGUAUGGUGAUGAUGUCUGCGUG